UGGGGAAUUUUGGACAAUGGGCGAAAGCCUGAUCCAGCAACGCCGCGUGAGUGAUGAAGGCCUUCGGGUUGUAAAGCUCUGUCGGAGGGAACGAAUAAAGGUCACCUAAUACGUGAUCAUAUGACGGUACCCUUAAAGGAAGCACCGGCUAACUCUGUGCCAGCAGCCGCGGUAAGACAGAGGGUGCAAGCGUUGUUCGGAAUUACUGGGCGUAAAGGGCGUGUAGGCGGCAGAGUGUGUCUGAUGUGAAAUCCCUCGGCUUAACUGGGGAAGUGCAUCGGAAACUGCUUUGCUAGAGUAUGAGAGAGGGUGGCGGAAUUCCUAGAGUAGAGGUGAAAUUCGUAGAUACUAGGAGGAACACCAGAGGCGAAGGCGGCCACCUGGUUCAUAACUGACGCUGAGACGCGAAAGCGUGGGUAGCAAACAGG
rnacentral:rRNA from 1 species